GCCCAUUGCCUCUUGUCCUAUUCACUGGGCACCACUGAAAAGAGCAUGGCUCCACCUUCUGUACACCUUCCCUUCAGGAAGAAAAAUGACUAAAACUUGAAGUCAGUCUCUGGCAUGCUUGAAUACCAUAUGCCUGCACUAUUGAGAGACUGGAGCAGAGUAUCUGGAGAAAGAUGAGAGAGUGUGGGUGGCAAUAGAAAAAACAACCACGACUAUAAUUUCUGGAAAUUAUUUCAGCUGAAUGAAUCCAGUGAAGACAUCUUGUGGGAAUAGGAGAGGUCUUGCAGGUCAGUUUUGGGGAACAGUUCCAAAUUCUUCUGUUG